GAACUGAGGGUAGCGGAGAAAUUCCAAUCGAACCUGGAGAUAGCUGGUUCUCUCCGAAAUAGCUUUAGGGCUAGCCUCAAGUGAUGAUUAUUGGAGGUAGAGCACUGUUUGGACGAGGGGCCCCUCUCGGGUUACCGAAUUCAGACAAACUCCGAAUGCCAAUUAAUUUAACUUGGGAGUCAGAACAUGGGUGAUAAGGUCCGUGUUCGAAAGGGAAACAGCCCAGACCACCAGCUAAGGUCCCAAAAUAUAUGUUAAGUGGAAAAGGAUGUGGCGUUGCCCAGACAACUAGGAUGUUGGCUUAGAAGCAGCCAUCAUUUAAAGAGUGCGUAAUAGCUCACUAGUCGAGUGACACUGCGCCGAAAAUGUACCGGGGCUAAACAUAUUACCGAAGCUGUGGAUUGUCCUUUGGACAAUGGUAGGAGAGCGUUCUAAGGGCGUUGAAGCAUGAUCGUAAGGACAUGUGGAGCGCU
rnacentral:rRNA from 1 species